rnacentral:rRNA from 5 species
AAAACGACUCUCGGCAACGGAUAUCUCGGCUCUCGCAUCGAUGAAGAACGCAGCGAAAUGCGAUACUUGGUGUGAAUUGCAGGAUCCCGCGAACCAUCGAGUCUUUGAACGCAAGUUGCGCCCUAAGCCUUUCGGCCGAGGGCACGUCUGCCUGGGUGUCAUUC